GCCAUCCUGAAGUCCCCCUCACUGCCAUGACUCUACUCUUGCUCAUUCCUAUGCUAUCCAGAUCCCUUAUGCAAGGGUUAACCACCAUGUUCAUUCUUUCAUCCCUAUUCUAUCCAAAUCCCUUAUGCAAGAGUCAAACAGCAUCUUCAUUAUUUCAUCCCUGUACUGUCCAAAUUCCCUAUACAAGAGUUUUCCAGCAUCUUCAUUCUUUUAUCCCUUCCACUGGUAAACUCUGAAACAGCAAUAGCCUCCCUUUGUCUGUAUUUUUACUCCUGCUCAUCCCUAUACUAUCCUGAUCCCUUAUGCAAGAGUUGAGCAGCAGCAUCUUCAUUCCUUCAUCCAGCAGGGAGUUCUCCAGGCACACGCCAGCAUUGCCGCCAAGGACUUCACACUGCACUGCCCGAAACACCCGUCGAGGGUGAUGAGGAUGAGGAGACAGUCAAGAUUGUGCAGUGGGUGAAGAGCAAUGAGCCAAUGGGAGCCACCAUCAAGCAGGACGACCACUCCGGAGCCAUCAUCAUCACCCGCAUCAUGCAUGGCUGAUUGCUCCGGCCUCAUCCAUGCUGCUGACGAGGUGCAGGGGUCAACACCUUCAAUGUGGAGGGCAAGACACUGCCGGAUGUCCACAAGAUGCUGGUGCAGGCGGAGGGCACCAUGACCUUCAGGCUGCUCCCGGCCAGCAGCUCGGUGCACCUCAGGGAGAGCAAGGUGAGGGUGCACGCCUACUUCCACUAUGACCCCAAGGAGGACAACAAGCACAUUCCCUGCAAGGAAGCCGGGCUGCCCUUCAACAAGCUGGACAUCCUGCACAUUGUGACCCAGGAUGACCCCUACUGACAGUGUUUGACCGUGUGGACGGACCCUGACGGUUGUUGUGAUGUACAGGUGACGGCUUGGUGACGCAGGGCAUGGAGGACACAGCGCUGCAGUGGCUCAGCGAACGCCUCGGCCACCCAGACAACUUCACUUCUGUGAUAUUCCUGCCCAGACCAAGGCCUGGAGCACCGCUUCACGAGGAAGUAAAUCUUCAUUACCGACGAGACGAGCGGCGAGGCGGCACCGCGGCUCCAGGCGGGGCGGCGGCUCCUCCGACACCCGCGUCAUGCCCUUCAGCUUCCAGCAGCAGACGAGCGGCUGAACAGACGCUCCCUGGGAUGUCUGAACGACAGCCAGGCUGGACUGAAUGAUCCAGCAGUUGCAGGUGUGGCCAGGUGUUGCAACCCUCCAAUAAGCACCUGUACCAAUCUGGAUAGAGAUGUGUAGUUCACAGUGUAAGGACAAUCCAGUUGUCAGUCAAACAUCUGGCACUGUUCCCCAAAAGAGCCGACAAACUCCGAGCCAAGUUUUUUUUUUCUUUACACUCUGGCCUAUAGCGUUGGUAGGCUUUCUUCUGGGCCCUGGUGGUCGACCCAAGCCCGUCAUGGCGCAGGCAAGUGUUUAUAGCAGCACCAUUUCUUCUUGGCUCAUGCUGCCCGCCGGAGCUCAUUCUUGAUUCACUUGGACAGUUCCUCUAGAGUUGGGGUUGAUAGGUGAUCUUCAGGACAGCACGUGGGUAGCCUUAUGCCACUUGGCAAUGACUGAAAAAUCCCAGGUGGUAGCAGAGAAUUUGAACCCGCAUUGUCCAGAACUUGGUGAACGCAGGACCUGCACACUAACCAUUCAGCCACUGCCUCUCUGUUCCAACAUGAGUGAAAAAUGAGAGGCCAGAAGAGAGUGGUUGAUUUCAAAUGGAGAAGUGUCUCGAUAGGCUGGAGGAAAUAGAUGAAGGAAGGCUGCUCUGGAGUUAACCUGCAUAAGGAAUUAGGAUAGUAUAGAGACGAGUAGAACGUUAUGUAAAAAGGGACCACAGUAGAGGUGGAGGCAUGUAGUUAGCAAGCUUAGAAGGGCAAUCAUCAUGAAAAUGUCUGUAGAAGACAGAGGGCAACAUUGCAGCAGAGUUUGCUAUAGAAGAAGAGAGUUUAAGUUUGACUCCAUCGAGUCCAAAACAGCUAUGUGAGUGAAGCCCCUCCUAUAUGAAAUGCGCUCUCCAUACGAGGACAGACAAGGCCCCUGGAUAUCAUUUGUGAGGGGUAAAAAACUGAAAGACUAAUAGAGAACACACAACUUCAAAGAAGCUGAUUUAGGAAGAGGUGAGAUGAAAUUAUGAGUUGAGGAUAGACCAAAUAUGUUUAUUGUUUAAAUGGACAGCUGAGUGUUGUCAUAGAAUAGGGAACAGAUGUUCGGAAUUCUAUCCCUCUGUUUUUGUAUCGUGUUUCCUUUCAAGCUGGUCUAUCUAUGCUGUGGUAAUCCUGCCACUGGCUUCCCCUAAACCUCUCAGCACCUGUAUUCUGUACGACUAUUUUAUUUCCCUCUCUGAGGAAAAAGUCAAUUUCUCUGCCUAUCAACUGAACAAAUUCCAUCGUCUAUUCCCUAGUCUUCGACCACACUCAGCGGUCCCCUUCCUCUACACUAAAUAUUCUCUGUCUAUCCUUAACUCAAAACAUUAACUGAAAACUUAUUUCCUCUCUUGCUAAAUCAGAUUCUUCGAGGUUAUGCAUUUGUAUCGUUUUCACCAGUUCUAUUCCCCCUCACACAUGCUGUCCACAUACAAGGGUCUUUUCUGUCCUCAUAUGGAGUAUGACAGAAGUCUAUGACAAAUGGUGGAAAAUUCUGUAGGAUCAAGGUCAUGGGCACGAGAGGAAGUGACAUCUUGGCAUACAUAGAUGCAGCAUCCAGCUUGGAUUGAAAGCUGGGAUGAAGAUAGCAAGAGACACAUCACGGCAGCCACUAAUGGACUGGAGUUGUCCAAGAAACCCCCCAAGAAAGCCUACCAUCACUAUUGACGAUUACUGUCAGUAGCCCCAGAGACCCGUGUUUCAGUUAAGAAGAAGAGGUAAAGGAAGAGGAGGUAAAAGAGGAGAGAUGAUGUUCUACAGGAUGGAAGCUGAAGCAAAGAUCGUGAAUGUUGCAAAAUUUGGAAAAAAGGUGAGUUAUCAGGACAGCUGUGUACUAUAGGUUUGUUAUGUCACUGCACAAUACAUUCAAUAAGCUGUAACUUCAAAUAAUUUGUAUCUUUUGAAACUAGAUGCUUAUAAUAUUUCUCCAGAGGCUGCCUGAGUUAUUACUUAGUACAAUUUUGAAGACCUAUAAACAUUUCCAGCUGUUCUUUACUGCAUAUUAAUCAUGAUUUGUAUUGUUAGAUAACUAUAUCAAAAUUCAAAUCUAGAGACAGCUGCCAUUAAAUUGAGGUUUUGCAUAUUUUUGAGUUUCACUGUAGAAAGUACCAUGAAUCAAUAUAUUUUGUAGACUUUGUUCA